rnacentral:rRNA from 1 species
GAUGAACGCUAGCGGAAGGCUUAAUACAUGCAAGUCGAGCGGUAGGUGGCUUCGGCCAUUGAGAGCGGCGCACGGGUGAGUAACGCGUACAUGACCUGCCUGUCAGAAGGGGAUAGCCCUGGGAAACUGGGAUUAAUACCCUAUGGUAUUGAUAUUAUGAAUGAUAUCAAUUAAAGUUGAGGCGCUGACAGAUGGAUGUGCGUCUGAUUAGCUAGUUGGUAGGGUAACGGCCUACCAAGGCGACGAUCAGUAGGGGGCGUGAGAGCGUGGUCCCCCACACGGGUACUGAGACACGGACCCGACUCCUACGGGAGGCAGCAGUAAGGAAUAUUGGUCAAUGCCCGCAAGGGUGAACCAGCCAUUCCGCGUGGAGGAUGAAGGCCCUAUGGGUUGUAAACUUCUUUUAGAUGGGAAGAAAAUGCUAGAUGUAUCUGGUACUGACGGUACCAUCAGAAUAAGCACCGGCUAACUCCGUGCCAGCAGCCGCGGU